AUAUAUAUUUCAAUAUCAUUGCAGAGAGUGUUUUUCAGAAUUUUUGUUCCUGUACUUAUGAAAGAGGUUGGUCCUCACACUUUUAUGUCCUGUCAUAAUCAGAUGUAGGGCCACCCCAGCUGGGUACGAUAAUCCCUAACAUCUUCUACCUUUUUAUAUGCUCUGGAAUAGUUUAUAAUGUUUUCAAAGAACCAGCUCAUAAAAUUAUAUAGCCCAUCAUUCUUUUGAGAAGUAAUAUUGACCAUGAUCUCUGCUUUUUCAUGGUCAUUCAACUAUUCAGGUAUUCUCUUGCUUUUGAAUCAGGUCCACUUUUAUAGUUUUCUAUGAAGUCAUUCAUGCAUGAGUUGUUUGUAGUUAGCCUUAUUUCUGCCAUAUCAUUUUAUUCCUUCUCUUUGGAAUACUUUCCCAUGAUUUUUGUCGACAUUUUCUUUGUCUUCACCUUCUACUCUGGAAAGCAUCUGUAACAGUUUUUAAUUCUCCCAAUAUUUACCUGCAAGUUUUGUGAAUGUAUUUUUAACUUAUUUUUUAAAUGUCAGAGCCAAGGGGCACCUGGGUGGCUCAGUGAGCUGAGCAUCUGACUCUUGAUUUCUGCUCAGGUCAUGAUCCUAGGGUGGUGGGAUCACCCCCCAUGUUGCACUCUGCACUGACACUGAAGGGCCUGCUUGGGAUUCUCUCUCUCUUCCCCCCUCCCCCUACUUCUAAAAAUAAAUAAAUAAAUAAGUAAACUUAAAAAAAUAAAAAAUAGGGGUACUUGGGUGGCUCAGUCAGUUGGGCAUCUGACUUCAGCUCAGAUCAUGAUCUCAUGGUUCAUGAGUUUGAAAUUUAGCAUCGAGCUCUGUGCUGACAGCUCAGAGCCAAGAGCCUGCUUCGGAUUCUGUGCCUCUCUGUCUACCCCCCUCCACUCACACUCUGUCUCUCUCUCUCAAAAAUAAAUAAAACUUAAAAAAAAAUGUUUUAAGUAAUUUUAAAAGAAAAGUUCCCGGGUGGCAUGUUUUCUGAAUCUGCACAGCUCUGAAUGUCUUCUUUUGUUUUCCUAAACUCACUACUGGGGUACAAUAUGUAUUUUAUCACAACUUCUCACCUUCAAAAUCGAUUUAGACUUUGGCCCACUGUGUCUGGGCAUUUUAUCCUACAACGGUGAAGCCUGCAUUCAGCCAGAAUUCCAUUUCUUUGUCGGUAUGUGGACACAUAUCCAGUUUCCCCUUUCUCUCUAUCGCUAUAUAUUUUUGACAGGAUAGGAUUCAAUGUAAUAUUCUUAUCAUUGAUCUUGCCUAGCACACUGAGCCCUUACAAUAUACAUCCCUGCUUCUUUUUUUUCAGCAGCUGCAUUAAAUCUUUCUGAUCCUUUUGUUCUGGGCUCUCUUUCAAGAACAUCUAUUAUCCAUAUGCUAGCUAUCCAUUCUCUGUCCUCCUUAUUUAUCAUUUUAAAAAAAGAAAAAAUAAAUUCUGGGAAGCACUCUUCUUCUGAGGUCAUUUGUCUAAACCUUAAACAUACUAACUUAAAACAACUGCAAGUCUGUGGUCAAUCUUUGUGAACUAAUGAUUUUUUUUAUCAUUUGAAUAAUGCUAAGCUCUAUCUGUUGACCAAGUAAACUUUUCCUACCACAAUGGUUUUCUUCUCUGAAGACAAAAGUAAAAAGCUUUCUGCAACUACUAAGUUGUCCUGAUCUGUGUUUUUGAUUUUUUUUUUUUCACUCUUAGUGCCAGUGGAGAAGUGUUAUGGACUAAAUUGUGUCCUCCCACCAAAUUCUUAUAUUGAGGCCCUAACCCCCACUGUGACAUACUUGGACACAGGGCUUGGAAGAGGGUGUUAAUGGUUGGAUGAGGUCACAAGCGUAGGCUUGAAUAAGAUUAGUGCCCUUAUAAAAAGAGGAAGAGGCCCCAGAGAUCAUCCUACAUGUGCAGAAGAAGGGCAUGUGAGGAGAGGAGGAAGGAGGAGGCCCCACUCCAAGCCAGGAGCAAAAUCUCACCAGGAAUGGAGACCGCUGACACCUCCAUCUGGGACCUCCAACCUCCAGGCCCGUGAAAAAUAAAUGUCUAUUGUCCAAGGUGCCCAGGCUGUGGGGCUGUGUUGUGGCAGCCAGAGCUGACUGAUACAAGCAGUGAGGGCCACCUUCGGAGCCCAAUGUCCUCCUCCAAGAGGCACUCUGUGGGGAGUGUGUUGGCGUUCCCAUUUCAGCACCUGGUGUCGCCGACUAAUAAACAGACAAUGAACAGAGA